UAGCUCAGUUGGUAGAGCAGUUGACUUUUAAUCAAUUGGUCGCAGGUUCGAGCUUGCGGCGACGGCCCGCAGGGCGAGGCGAAGCCGAGUCAUCCUGCACGACCCACCA
rnacentral:sRNA from 1 species